GCUCCAUUAAGCGCUCCCGCUCCGCGCCCGCCGCGCUCCCCGCACAGCCCCGCACGCCCCGCUCCUCCCGGGAUCCAUCUUGCGGGAGCGGGGGAAGGGGUCGGCGGCCCGGGAAGGAUGCCCGCCCGCCCGGCCCCCGGAGUUCGCCCCCCGCGGAGGAUUAGUUGGGGUUUGGCUGCGGGACGCUGAGAGAGCCGCGCUGGGAUCGGGAGUUCCCGCACACCGCCCGCCCCUCCCGCACCGCCAUGAGCCGCGGGCCGGCAGCCCCGCGGAGCCCCCGGAGCACAGGCAUCUGAUGCCAGCUCUGAGAAACUGUUCAACGCUGUCACAAAUAAAGAUAAGGAGUUAGGAGUCGGUCCGCCCGCUGACAAUGACGACCCUGGUGCUCGGGGCCCGGCUGUCCCCAAAAUAUCGGGAUUAGAAAGGAGCCAAGAGAAGAGCCAGGACAGCAGCAAAGACCCCGUCCUUGAGCCCGUGGUGCCUAAAGACCCUUGCCCUCAGGCGGCGCAGCCGCUGGCCCAGCCUCACCCCGAGCCGCCCGAGGUUCGCUGCCCCAGCCCCGCGCUCGCCCC